rnacentral:rRNA from 1 species
UACAGAGGCCCCAAGCGUUGUUCGGAUUUAUUGGGCGUAAAGGGUGCGUAGGCGGUAUUGUAAGUCUGGUGUGAAAGGCGUGGGCUCAACCUGCGGACUGCAUUGGAUACUGCGAUACUAGAGGACUGGAGAGGAGAAUGGAAUUCACGGUGGAGCAGUGAAAUGCGUAGAUAUCGUGAGGAAGGCCAGUGGCGAAGGCGAUUCUCUGGACAGUACCUGACGCUGAGGCACGAAGGCUGGGGGAGCGAACAGG